UACGUAGGGUGCAAGCGUUGUCCGGAAUUAUUGGGCGUAAAGGGCGCGUAGGCGGCCAGCACAAGUCAGUUGUGAAAUCUCCGAGCUUAACUCGGAAAGGUCAACUGAUACUGUGCGGCUAGAGUGCGGAAGAGGAUGGUAGAAUUCCUGGUGUAGUGGUGAAAUACGUAGAUAUCAGGAGGAAUACCGGAGGCGAAAGGCGGCCUCC
rnacentral:rRNA from 1 species